UACAGAGGGUGCUAGCGUUAAUCGGAUUUACUGGGCGUAAAGCGUGUGUAGGCGGUUCGUUAAGUCGGGUGUGAAAUCCCUGGGCUCAACCCGGGAAUUGCAUUCGAUACUGGCGAGCUAGAGUACGGUAGAGGGCGGCGGAAUUCCGGGUGUAGCGGUGAAAUGCGCAGAUAUCAGGAGGAACACCGGUGGCGAAGGCGGGUCUCUGGGCCGAUACUGACGCUGAGGAGCGAAAGCGUGGGGAGCGAACAGG
rnacentral:rRNA from 1 species